CUUUCUUGGAAAACCCCUGAUAACGUUGCUACACAAAGGUUGGGAGAGUCCCUGACGGCCUGUGAGGGACCAUGUGGGGCUGGGGGUGGAUAGGGGAGCUUGACUCUGCAGUCCCCAGGGCAGUCUGAGUCCCCAGUGCCUGGCGUGGGUGAGCUCAGGGCUGCUCCGUAUGGGGGCAUCCAGGCCUGGCUGCUGAUGCCCUGUGGCUGAGGACACCUCCAUCUGCAUGAGCCAGUUUGGAAGUCCAGCUUGCCCCCCAGGCAGUGGAGGCCAGAGUCAUUUUGGAUUUGGGCUGACCUGGUAGACUUCUGAAAGACAGUGCUCUGGGUUCAAGUUGUCCUCAGGGCUGGAUGAUCCAUAGCAAAUAUCCCCUGAUGGAUAAGCAUUGUGCUGAGAGACUUGCCUCCAUCAGCUGUGUAAACCUCAGGAUGACCUGCACACAGGUAUACUAAGGCACACAGAGACCAGCUCGUAGUCAGUGACAAGUAACUUGCCAAGAGCUGUGGUUUAAAAGCAUGUCUGCAAAUUCUUGGACACUCUUGUCAUCCAGAAAUAGAGUCUAACCCUCCUCCCUUGAAUACGGGCUGGCUUCAGUGGUGGAAAUGACAAUGUGUGAGUUUGAGGUUUGAUUAGAAAAGAUGACACAGCCUCUGCCUGACUCUCAAGGCCCUUGUUCUUGGACAUUAGCUGCCAUGCUGGGAGGAAGCCCAGCAGCCACACAGAGAGGCCACGACAGCCGAGGUCCCAGCCAAGCCAGCAUCAACUGCCCAACACGUCAAUGAGUGAUCCUGCAGAGCCUCCCAUCUCCUAGCCACCGCAGCUGAUGCUCUGAGAGCGGAGGCAAGCUGUCCUUGCUGGGCGCUGCUUAAACUGCAGAUGUAUGAACAAAAUAAAAAUGGUGGUUAUUUUAAGACACUACAUUUUGGGUCUCUAGGUGUUUGGGGGUGGUUUUUCUCUAGCAAUAGGUCCCCAGUCUUGUGCUUUUAGGGUCCUUGUCAAGAAGAAAAGUACAAUGAGGAGGCGAGCCAUGUGCCCCUUACUCUAUCCAGGUCUGCUGCCUAAUGUUCAUCCCACCCACCCUCAUAAAGCUGGAGCCUGAAGCAGGCUCUGAGGGCUGCCUGGUGCUAAGUGCUGGUAUUUCUGGUGCUUGGUUCACCGCUGCUCCCUGGCAGUCACUGGAACUGCUUAGCUCAGUGCACUGAACCCACAUCAUUAGAGGAAAGGAGGUGGCUAAGGGCAUCUCACCACACCACGGGGCCACUAAAGCCAAUGCCUGGGCUUGGAAGGCAGUAUUAUCUUCCUGCCCUGACCCCCAGCAUCUUACAAGUAUUUCCAUUUUUGGAAACCACCAUUCCACUUUCCAUUUCCCAUCUCUGUGAAUCUGACUCCCCUAGGUGCCUCC
rnacentral:lncRNA from 1 species